CUUUGGGUGAUCCUGGAUCAUAGAGCCAUAGCAAUAUUGAUGGUUGAAUGUUUGGAGCAGACAAUGUCAAUGAUUAACAGACAGGUUUUUGCUGAAAGAAUCAAGAGUUCAGUGACAGAAGAAUGAGGGUCAGAGAAGCAUGAAGACAAAGGAGAAUGAGGGUCAUUUAUUCAAUAAACAUUUGUAACACUCA